CUGGCGGCCKUAGCGCGGUGGUCCCACCUGACCCCAUGCCGAACUCAGAAGUGAAACGCCGUAGCGCCGAUGGUAGUGUGGGGUCUCCCCAUGCGAGAGUAGGGAACUGCCAGGC
rnacentral:rRNA from 1 species